AUAUACCCUAAAACUGAAGGGAAUUCCCUUUGGAUCCUCAUGCUAGAAUGUCCCAACAGGUGCAUUUCUCCCAGUGAAGAAUUUCAUCUUGCCCCCAUAGGGAGUGAAAACCCUCUGCAAUGCUUCUACUGGCCUGGGCAGAAUUCAGCUGAGCCAAGGGAACUAUCUGGAUUUUCAUAUGAGCCACAGCUCACAGAGUUGCUGUUAGUCUGUGAUGCUUCUAGUUUAGACUCUAAUGGGCCUUGUGAUGAUUUAUUCCAGCUGCUCAGCUCACUUUGGAUUCAACAGGAAUCUUCAUAUAGUUUACUAUGGCAUUGGCUACAAGCUUUGUCUUUGGUGUGACAUCUAAAGCACAAUUGACCUGGGGUGCUGGCUUCGUACAAAGAGCUGCAGUUUAGCAACUAUGGAUGCUGAUGUGGCUAUUCAGAUUUCAUCCUGAAGACAAAGGCAGGUCUCUCCAUCUGAGAAAGGCUGCAGUUUGUAGGAUUCCACCAGCUGCUGAAGGUCAUCAGACUGAUGUGCAUGGCUGCACUUGUACAUAUGGAAUCUCAUGGAACCUGAAGAGAGCUUGUUUUUGCCGGUUUUUGCCUAAAACAUGAAUAUUUACAUUUGUAUCUCUCCCUGCAUUUCAGCUGUAUACACCUGGGAUAGUCAUUUCCAGAGUUACUAAUCCUUAUGCUUCAAGAUCUGAAUUACUACCUUGGAUCAGGAAGGAAUUUACACCCUAAUGGCAUAAUAUCCUGCUAAGGGCUUUGUGGGAUUUAGUCUUUAUUCAGAGUAUCAGCCAUUGGCCAGAGUGCAAGACAGUGGAUCAGAUCCUCAGUGGGCCUAAACCAACAUUGUUCCCCUGACUUCCAUGAAGCAAUGCUCAUUUACACCAAUUCAGGAUCUGACCCAGAAUCUACAAUCUAUGCGCCUGGUUUAGCAGUUCCUCAGCACCUCACAUUCCAGCAGCAUGAAUGAUCAUUUAGUAGGCACUUUGCUUCUUACUGCCGUGGCUUCAGCGCUCUGUUGGAAUGAGCACAAAAGGGCAAAGGGCAACUGCAGAGCACAAAGAUGACAAAAUAAAAUAGGGAGAACCUGUGGGCUGUUAGGAUCCUAAUGGAGAGCCCUGUGACGAAAUGCAAUCAGACAGAAAGGACAGAUGUAAAGUAAGCUACAUAGGUGAAAGUGUUCACUUUAAACUGUCAGCACUAAUUUAAGCCAAACUUAAAUAAAAAAAUAAACCAGAGCAGCUGGAUCUAGGAAGUGGUUGAUUGACCUCAGCAUUGGUCAUUUUCCUUUUCUGCUCUUAAACCAUUGUUCGUCAGCUUCCACUUAAAGCAAACCAAAGCUGUCAGUCUAACCACAAUCAAAACCAGUGGGUUUGCAUUCUUAUAUUAUUUCUCUGCAUAUUAUUUGACAUGCAUUAAGAAAAAGCACAAAGCGUUACUUAAAAAUCUUUCCUCUCCAUGUAAAAAGGUGCUGUGUUGUGCUGCUUAAGUGGAAGUCCUACCAAAAUAAUUUAUACUAGCAUAAUGCUCUGUACCCUAGAGAACCUCAAACUGCUGAGCUCACUGAAAAUGACCUGCCGAUUAUAGAUGAGGGUCAGUGCAAUCAUUGUACCGGGGAAACAGUAUUGUGUGGUACUUUGGGUACAGGAUUGUGAUGCAAAGAUGACAGAUUCUACUUUUGGCUCUACAAAUGAACCUGCUGAGUGAACUUGGAGGAGUUUAAUCUUCUCUCUCUUUUUCCUCCCAUCACUUGUCUUAUCUAGAGAGAAUGUGAGCUCCUUCGGGCAAAGAUUAUCUCUUACUAUGUGCUUGUAUAGUGCCUAGCACAGGGGGUCCCCAGUUGCAGUUGCAGCCUCUCUAGGCACAGCUGUAAUACAAAUAAAUACUAAACUCAACUGCAACUUCCUUUGAAGUGAAACAUGGCAACUGUAUAGAAGUAUACAAUAGCAUAUACUCAACAUGGAUGGUGAGGUGGGAGAGCUUAAGCAGAACAUGAAUUUGGCCAGGACACUGGAUUUAACAUCCCACCUCUUGUGGAAAAAGCUGUAGCCCCUGGUUUUAUUUCUUAGCUUAAUCAGCACUGAUGAUUAGAGAGAAACACCCAGCUCCUCAAAAGGUAUUUACGUGUCAAAUACCUUUGAAGACUGAGCCAAAUUUAAAAAAAAUUGAUGUUAUUCAUCACAUCAGUACCGUAAAGCCUACCCAAAAGAUUAACAUAACACUGGUGCGGUUGGUGAUGGCCUUCCUUAAUGGUGAUGGCCAUCAUUCAAUCUAAUUAAUACUGCAGGGUCAAUGAUUUCUUUACACCCAUUCUGAGAGCACCUUUUCUCAAAGUAUCUGGGCUACCUGUGGGAAAGCCAAAUUGUGUUUCUUCAAAAAUUCUGUCACAUGAUCAGUGUCACUGCCACUGUCACUCAUUCAACCUCCUGCAGGGAACUCACUCUGAUACUGAAAAACAAAUAUGUUCAUUAUGUUUAUUUUCUGAGCCGUUUCUCAGAAGCUACUAACGGAUGACAUAUGGUUUACUUACUCGACUUUCUAUUGUGGGAUUUCCAACAUUCCCCCAUAUAGGUAUAGAGUGCUGGUACGAGGAGCAUUUAUCAAUACCUGAGUGGGCGACUGGAUGGCUCAAGAAAUUACCAACAUAAUACCUCUCACUCCUAGGUUACCAGAUUAAGUCCAAACCAUGGAGUAGUGUCUAAAAGGUGUUAUCCCACAGUUUGUCAGCAAACCAGUUCAGUUCUCAUUCCUGUGUGGAUAAAGACACGUUAACCUCAGAUUAUUAACAAGUUUAAAUUUAGGCAUGUGAUUAAGUCACUUGCUUAAUCAGGGCCCAAAUCUAGUAACAGACUUUAGAAAACAACAAUUAUCUGUCAAAGUGAUUGUUCAUAUAGUGAAACAGUAUCUGGUGCUGAGGGAGCUUCUAAAAUCUAUAUAUAGGAUAAUUUUGCAACGUAUAAAGCCAAAAUUUUCAAAAAUACAACCUAAGAUCAGACUUCUGAGUCCAUAUUUAACUUUAGACUCCUAUUCAUAAAGUUUUGCCUAAAUGUUUUGAUUCACUCAUUUUUGUUAUUUUAUUUGACCCUCAUCCGGAAUACCACAAUAGUAUUGAGAAAAUGAAGUGUACGGCACUGGCGUUCUUAAUGGCUAACUGUACGGAAAUCUGAGCAAUAUAAUUAAUGAAGGUGAUUUAUCAUUAUCCCUCUCCUUUAAAUAUUAG